rnacentral:rRNA from 1 species
UACGUAGGGUGCGAGCGUUGCCCGGAUUUAUUGGGCGUAAAGGGCGCGUAGGCGGCCUGAUAAGUAGGGGGUGAAAUCCUGCGGCUUAACCGCAGGGCUGCCUUCUAAACUGUCAGGCUGGAGCACAGUAGAGGCAGGUGGAAUUCCCGGUGUAGCGGUGGAAUGCGUAGAGAUCGGGAAGAACAUCAGUGGCGAAGGCGGCCUGCUGGGCUGUUGCUGACGCUGAGGCGCGACAGCGUGGGGAGCAAACAGG